UGGGGAGUUUUGGACAAUGGGGGAAACCCUGAUCCAGCCAUCCCGCGUGUGCGAUGAAGGCCUUCGGGUUGUAAAGCACUUUUGGCAGGAAAGAAACGUCGCGGGUUAAUACCCCGCGGAACUGACGGUACCUGCAGAAUAAGCACCGGCUAACUACGUGCCAGCAGCCGCGGUAAUACGUAGGGUGCAAGCGUUAAUCGGAAUUACUGGGCGUAAAGCGUGCGCAGGCGGUUCGGAAAGAAAGAUGUGAAAUCCCAGAGCUUAACUUUGGAACUGCAUUUUUAACUACCGGGCUAGAGUGUGUCAGAGGGAGGUGGAAUUCCGCGUGUAGCAGUGAAAUGCGUAGAUAUGCGGAGGAACACCGAUGGCGAAGGCAGCCUCCUGGGAUAACACUGACGCUCAUGCACGAAAGCGUGGGGAGCAAACAGGAUUAGAUACCCUGGUAGUCCACGCCCUAAACGAUGUCAACUAGCUGUUGGGGUCUUCGGACCUUGGUAGCGCAGCUAACGCGUGAAGUUGACCGCCUGGGGAGUACGGUC
rnacentral:rRNA from 1 species